rnacentral:rRNA from 1 species
UACGUAGGGGGCUAGCGUUGUCCGGAUUUAUUGGGCGUAAAGAGCGUGUAGGCGGCCAGGUAGGUCCGUUGUGAAAACUCGAGGCUCAACCUCGAGACGUCGGCGGAAACCAUCUGGCUAGAGUCCGGAAGAGGAGAGUGGAAUUCCUGGUGUAGCGGUGAAAUGCGCAGAUAUCAGGAAGAACACCAACGGCGAAGGCAGCUCGCUGGGACGGUACUGACGCUGAGACGCGAAAGCGUGGGGAGCGAACAGG